AAAAGUCGGCCAUCUUUUUUUAUUUGCAGAUUCGGAUCGAAUUUUUAGUAAACCGACCAAAAUACCCUUAUACCUUUUUCUCUCCCCUUUUUUUUUCUCACGUUCUUUUUUUUUUCUCGCCGAAGAAGGCGACGGAGGCGAAGGCGGAAACGACCCCCAUCGUCUCUGCACCUCACGCCCUCACCAUCACCCUCGCCCACGCACCCCUCGCCUGGCCUACUCGCCUCCGACCCCGCCGAAGUCGCGCUGCGACCCUCUUUUUUUUUUCCUCUCUGACCCUCCUCCACCACCGCUGCGGCCCUCUGCGAUAAUAACGAGGACGGUAACACGUCCUCUUCCUCCGCCUUUGCCCUCUACUUUCACUGCAACGAAUUUUCUACCUGCCAAACAAACCCGCCGUCCCCACUCCCGCUGCUGGCAAGGAAGAGGAAAUG
rnacentral:lncRNA from 1 species